ACGGGGUGCAGCAGGCGCGAAAACUUUACAAUGCGGGAAACCGCGAUAAGGGCACGCCGAGUGCCAGCAUCUUAUGUUGGCUGUCCGCAUGUAUAAAUCACAUGUGUUAGCAAGGGCCGGGCAAGACCGGUGCCAGCCGCCGCGGUAACACCGGCGGCCCGAGUGGUGGCCACUAUUAUUGGGUCUAAAGGGUCCGUAGCCGGUUUGGUCAGUCUUCCGGGAAAUCUGACGGCUUAACCGUUAGGCUUUCGGGGGAUACUACCAGGCUUGGGACCGGGAGAGGUAAGAGGUACUACGGGGGUAGGAGUGAAAUCUUGUAAUCCUCGUGGGACCGCCAGUGGCGAAGGCGUCUUACCAGAACGGGUCCGACGGUGAGGGACGAAAGCUGGGGGCACGAACCGGAUUAGAUACCCGGGUAGUCCCAGCCGUAAACUAUGCUCGCUAGGUGUCAGGGACGGUGCGACCGUUUCUGGUGCCGCAGGGAAGCCGUGAAGCGAGCCACCUGGGAAGUACGGUCGCAAGGCUGAAACUUAAAGGAAUUGGCGGGGGAG
rnacentral:rRNA from 1 species